AGUGAACGCUGGCGGUAGGCCUAACACAUGCAAGUCGAACGGCAGCACAGUAAGAGCUUGCUCUUACGGGUGGCGAGUGGCGGACGGGUGAGGAAUACAUCGGAAUCUACUUUUUCGUGGGGGAUAACGUAGGGAAACUUACGCUAAUACCGCAUACGACCUACGGGUGAAAGCAGGGGAUCUUCGGACCUUGCGCGAUUGAAUGAGCCGAUGUCGGAUUAGCUAGUUGGCGGGGUAAAGGCCCACCAAGGCGACGAUCCGUAGCUGGUCUGAGAGGAUGAUCAGGCACACUGGAACUGAGACACGGUCCAGACCCCUACGGGAGGCAGCGGUGGGGAAUAUUGGACAAGGGGCGCAAGCCUGAUCCAGCCAUACCGCGUGGGUGAAGAAGGCCUUCGGGUUGUAAAGCCCUUUUGUUGGGAAAGAAAAGCAGCAGGUUAAUACCCCGCUGUUCUGACGGUACCCAAAGAAUAAGCACCGGCUAACUUCGUG
rnacentral:rRNA from 1 species